UGUAAUCUGCAUAAUCAUGUGUGUUGUAGCUUGAAAGGACUGUGAGAUAUGAGUUUGACAGCUUGCUCAGCCUUGUAUGUCCUCUGUGAUUUGAUUCUUCAUCUGUGAAAUGAAAAUCUUAUUUUACAAAGGUGUCAUGAAGCACACACCUGCGUUUGACUGCCAGGACUGCCCUGUCACCUGCUGGGUUUGCCAUGAUUUGUUCUGACAUCCUCAAAGUGAAAAUCCUCGUUUUCCAAGUGUGCCAUCUGUCUGCCUGGGAUAUCUUGCAAAGUAUUGCUGGAAGGGUUUCAGUUCUCCAAGGGGGAACCCCACUCUGGACUGAUAAAACCAAGAAGAUACAUUAGAGCAUAACAAGAGGAAGUCCUGCAGAGAAUAUCUCUCUCCCCAUUGUUUCUAUCUUUUUUUUUAUGUCUCCGGUAAGCUGUCCCCUGUGUGUGUGAGAUAGGCUUGUCUCCUAGUUGUCUCAGUAAAUCAAACUCUCCUACAUUUAAAUCUUCCCUGUUCACCUUCCUGUUAACCAGCACUGACCCCCUUAUGUGAGCUCUGAUACCACAACUUAAUCCAGUUUCUUACAUUUUUGGAACAUGCUCUGUAAGGUUUUAGAGGAAUGAAGCAGCUCUGUGGGCUCCUGCCUUAUAUUCUAGGCUGGGACAAACCUGUUCAGAAACUCCUGAUUUCAACCUCCCUGCAGGCAAGCUGGAUGUUAAAGGCAGAACUGAAGGCCUACAUAAUUCCUUAAAGGAAAGGAGAGGCACAGGAAGGAGAGAAGCUGCCCGUAACUGAUGGUGUCUUUCACUGCCUUGUUUACUGAAGAAGUGUGGGGAUGCUCAGAUGUGAAGGUGGGGGAGCUCUGAUGACUCCUUGCAGCAGCCCUGGCAAUUUGGUCUAUCUUUGAUGUAAGUGAACAUGACAUGCAGUUGAUGAGCUGGGGCUCACCCAGCCUUAGGGGGCUUAGAUUUUGUAAGAGUCCGUUGUGAAGCUGACUCUAGAUCCAACCGAACAUGCAUCAUACUCUGGAAGAAAUCUCAAGAGCUGGCAGCACUCAACGUACGCAAAGUCUUUGGCCGAGGUCUUCAGGGAAAGGGUUGCCUCUCCUGCUGCUGGGAAGGCAAACCAUAACUUCUGAUGAAUAAAUGUCACAGAAGAUGAGCAUCUGCAAGCAGGAGGUUUUGUCCUUCAUCUACAAAAGGGAAAUGAGGUCUUAUGGAAGGUAAAUCAAGAGUAUGUCAAAGUCUUCUCACAGCACACUCAUCAUUUUCAUUUGUGUGAGUGUACAGACACAUCUUGCAAUUGUGUUCUCAAUGUUUUGACAGGUUCAGAAUAAUAGCUGGUCGUUACUUGGACUGUGAGAAAAUGUCAGCCUGAAGUAGAAAUCUCUAUAUUGUCCUCUACAUCGAGAAGUUGGACUCAAUGAUCUCUGUUGGUCCCUUCCAACUCAGGAUAUUCUAUGAUUCUAUAUGGGAUGAAGUCAAAACUGUGAGAUUAUAACACUCCAUUUAUGAUGUCCAGGUAGACAGACUCAGAACAUGCAGCUUUGCUUAUGUAAAUUAAAUGGAAAAUGACACCUAUGUCAUUUCAUACCAAAGAGGGUUACGUUAAAGUAUGUUUGAGUUCUGUAGUCUACCACACAAAGAGAGAAAAACUUUUUUUUUUUUUUCUUGAUUUCUGGUGCUUUUACUACUUCAUUAUGCUGUAGCAAUGGCAAGCUUUGCUUCCAGAAGACCAUAAUAGGCAAGAUCUCUGAAACAGAAUAUUGUGUCUAGUAAAAUUGCAGUUUGUUAUAACUUUCAUUUAAUACAAAUGACUGAAAAUAUGGCCACAGUAAGAGAAUAAGGCUGUAAUAAUUCACUUUGUGUAUUCUAGAGUGACUUGUACUUUUCCAGUAUUAAAUAUAAACUCCUGAUUUCAAAUAUUUUUUAAGGAUAAGAAGGCAUAAAGAUCUUUCUGGGCUGGCCAGGAAGAAAUUGUAUUCCCAGAGAAUGUUUAGCUUUUCAUAUAAAAAUCACAUAGAAAACAGAUCUCUAUUUAUCUUAUCCUCUAGAAUGUAAAAUAUGACCAGCAUUCCCAAAGGGAGAGAAAGGUAGCAAUAAAAGAAGAAAGCAAAGAA